rnacentral:rRNA from 1 species
CGUGUAGGCGGUUUGCAAGUCAGAUGUGAAAUUCCCAGGCUUAACCUGGGCGCUGCAUCUGAAACUGCAAGACUUGAGUACUGGAGAGGAUAGUGGAAUUCCUAGUGUAGCGGUAAAAUGCGCAGAUAUUAGGAGGAACACCGGUGGCGAAGGCGACUAUCUGGACAGUAACUGACGCUGAGGCGCGGAAGCGUGGGGAGCAAACA